rnacentral:rRNA from 1 species
GAUGAACGCUGGCGGCGUGCCUAAUACAUGCAAGUCGAACGAAACUUCUUUAUCACCGAGUGCUUGCACUCACCGAUAAAGAGUUGAGUGGCGAACGGGUGAGUAACACGUGGGCAACCUGCCCAAAAGAGGGGGAUAACACUUGGAAGCAGGUGCUAAUACCGCAUAACCAUAGUUACCGCAUGGUAACUAUGUAAAAGGUGGCUAUACUACCGCUUUUGGAUGGGCCCGCGGCGCAUUAGCUAGUUGGUAGGGUAAAGGCUUACCAAGGCAAUGAUGCGUAGCCGAAUUGAGAGGUUGAUCGGCCACAUUGGGACUGAGACACGGCCCAAACUCCUACGGGAGGCAGCAGUAGGGAAUCUUCCACAAUGGGCGAAAGCCUGAUGGAGCAACGCCGCGUGGGUGAAGAAGGUCUUCGGAUCGUAAAACCCUGUUGUUAGAGAAGAAAGUGCGUGAGAGUAACUGUUCACGUUUCGACGGUAUCUAACCGGAAAGCCACGGCUAACUACGUG